CAAGGUUCAGAGAGCAAUGCGAUAGAAAAACUGCUUACAUGAGAGCAUCCUCCUCUUAUCAGAGCCCUCACCUAUGCACACCUACAUAAGCUUCUGAGAACUGUUCGGCUGAGUCUGAAAAAUGCCUGGGAGAGAACUUCCUGAGGGACUGAGAUGUAUCAUCUUUAAGAAAAUUGUGACUGAAGUAAUUCAUAGGGAAAACUACUCCAAGGUA